GUUUCGGAGGUAGAUUGAGAUCAAAAUCAAGAGAUCUCCGUGGCGGAUUGAUCUCACGUUGGUUCAAAUCAAUGACGGAGGAUGAGUCUGAAUCACUCUGGACCCUCCACCAACGCCAUUUCCAGCAGUUGACAUCGUCUGAUGAUGAAGAUGUUGUUGUUGGUGAUGAUCAAAUAAUCGUCUCUGAUACUAAUACUAACUCUUCAUCAUCGCAUCGAAAUAAAGCAUGUGUUGAUGAUUCACCAUCGCAAAAUAGAAACUCUUUCGCAAAGUAAAAGCUUUCCAGCAGAAACUGUUGACAUUGAAGGUUGAGGUAGAGAGGAGCCUUGAAAAUGUGGGAUAUGUAAAGGAAGUUAGAGAAACGAAGAGAAAAGAAGAGAG
rnacentral:lncRNA from 1 species